rnacentral:rRNA from 1 species
CAGUCGCCGCGGUAAUACGUAGGUGGCAAGCGUUGUCCGGAAUUAUUGGGCGUAAAGGGCUCGCAGGCGGUUUCUUAAGUCUGAUGUGAAAGCCCCCGGCUCAACCGGGGAGGGUCAUUGGAAACUGGGAAACUUGAGUGCAGAAGAGGAGAGUGGAAUUCCACGUGUAGCGGUGAAAUGCGUAGAGAUGUGGAGGAACACCAGUGGCGAAGGCGACUCUCUGGUCUGUAACUGACGCUGAGGAGCGAAAGCGUGGGGAGCAAAUGGGAUUAGAUACCCCCGUAGUCCCUGUCUCUUAUAA